rnacentral:rRNA from 1 species
AGCUUGCUGGGUGGAUCAGUGGCGAACGGGUGAGUAACACGUGAGCAACCUGCCCCUGACUCUGGGAUAAGCGCUGGAAACGGCGUCUAAUACUGGAUAUGUGACGUGACCGCAUGGUCUGCGUCUGGAAAGAAUUUCGGUUGGGGAUGGGCUCGCGGCCUAUCAGCUUGUUGGUGAGGUAAUGGCUCACCAAGGCGUCGACGGGUAGCCGGCCUGAGAGGGUGACCGGCCACACUGGGACUGAGACACGGCCCAGACUCCUACGGGAGGCAGCAGUGGGGAAUAUUGCACAAUGGGCGCAAGCCUGAUGCAGCAACGCCGCGUGAGGGAUGACGGCCUUCGGGUUGUAAACCUCUUUUAGCAGGGAAGAAGCGAAAGUGACGGUACCUGCAGAAAAAGCGCCGGCUAACUACGUGCCAGCAGCCGCGGUAAUACGUAGGGCGCAAGCGUUAUCCGGAAUUAUUGGGCGUAAAGAGCUCGUAGGCGGUUUGUCGCGUCUGCUGUGAAAUCCCGAGGCUCAACCUCGGGCCUGCAGUGGGUACGGGCAGACUAGAGUGCGGUAGGGGAGAUUGGAAUUCCUGGUGUAGCGGUGGAAUGCGCAGAUAUCAGGAGGAACACCGAUGGCGAAGGCAGAUCUCUGGGCCGUAACUGACGCUGAGGAGCGAAAGGGUGGGGAGCAAACAGGCUUAGAUACCCUGGUAGUCCACCCCGUAAACGUUGGGAACUAGUUGUGGGGUCCAUUCCACGGA